GCCUUGGUGGUGGAAUGGUAGACACAGUUGAUUCAAAAUCAACCGCCUUCUGGUGUGGAGGUUCAAGUCCUCUUCAAGGCA
rnacentral:tRNA from 1 species